GACGAAGGAUGCAAGCGUUAUCCGGAUUCAUUGGGUUUAAAGGGAGCGUAGGUGGAUAUAUAAGUCAGUGGUGAAAUCUUUGGGCUUAACCCAAAAAUUGCCAUUGAUACUGUAUAUCUUGAGUACAGUUGCUGUGGGCGGAAUAUGACAUGUAGUGGUGAAAUACAUAGAGAUGUCAUAGAACACCGAUUGCGAAGGCAGCUCACAAAGCUGUAACUGACACUGAGGCUCGAAAGUGCGGGGAUCAAACAGG
rnacentral:rRNA from 1 species